ACAAACCAAAAUAUGCUAAUAAGGAUGAAGCAAAAUAACAAUAAACUUACUAAUUCCUAUAAUUAUUUAAUGUUCAAUUUGUUAUUACAUUUAAGAUGCCUCGAUAAUUAAAAUAUUUACAAAUUGACAAAAACAAAUGUUUUUGAAAUAUUUCCGUAUAUCAUGUAUUUACAAAAUUCAAACCCUAACUUUUACAAAAUUUUACUGUUUUCUUUCUUCUACCAAUUAAAAAAUCAAUUUGUCAAAACAUUUAACCAUGAAGUAAUGAUCCAAUAAUUCCCUGAUUUUUUUAAACUAUAAAUUGUUCAUGAGGCAUAAUGCUUUUUCUUGCCUUCAUGUCACAUAUUUUAUUUUGGAUAACUGCAAGCAUCCGUAAAUUGUUUUAAUAAAAAUUGUUUAUUAGGCAUGAAGCUGACCAAUAAUUCUUCACUUUUUUGUCCGACACAUAUUUCUCUUUGUGAAUGAUUCUAAAUUUAAUGACAAGGCUUAGGCAUAUAAAAUCAAUAUAAUACUACUUACAAAGAUAUUUCUCAAUGGUUUUAUGACCAAACUAACAGUUGAGAAACUGUAUAUCAAUAUGAAAUAUCUAUCUCUCUUUAAAACUU
rnacentral:lncRNA from 1 species